rnacentral:telomerase_RNA from 1 species
AAGGGCGAAGUAGCGGGUUUAUGAGUGGACACGACGGUAUCCUCCGGUACACAAACGUGUCUGUGGAACCUAACCCAGACUUAACCUUUACCCUUGGUGGUAAAAGUAGUCGACGAGUGUUGACAUACUUCCUUGGUGUUGGUUUGUUCUAUCCCUUCUUCCAAUAAAAAAAUCGAAAGGGUGUCUCAUAAACCCCUUCUUUUGGAAGUCUGAAGAACCUAAAGCUCUCGUAAUUUUUU